rnacentral:sRNA from 1 species
CUCGAAGCCCGGUUGCCGUGGAAGCCGCGUGGGGCGCCUUCCUCAGCUCUUCAGUUGAGGGUACCGGGGGAUCAAGGGCUCGGGGGCCCACUUCCACCUUGAAGCUACUAGGUAUAUGGUUCAUUAGUGAAUGGAUGGCCACUGGAAAAAGCACAGCUUUCCAGCUGGUGGAACUGGGCCCAGGUGUUCACUCAACUUGGAUCUGUGCUGAAAAAUUGUGACAUUUCAGUACAUCUGGUAGAGGUAAGCCAAAAAUUAAGUGAGAUUCAAGCAUUGACACUGACUGAAGAGAAGGUCCCAUUAGAGCGAAAUGCUGGAUCCCCAGUGUAUAUGAAAGGUGUCACUAAGUCUGGGAUUCCAAUUUCCUGGUACCGAGAUCUGCAUGAUGUUCCAAAAGGGUACAGCUUUUAUCUUGCACAUGAAUUUUUUGAUGUUCUUCCUGUGCAUAAAUUUCAGAAAACACCACAGGGAUGGCGAGAAGUAUUUGUUGACAUUGAUCCACAGGUUUCUGAUAAACUGAGGUUUGUUUUGGCACCUUCUGCCACCCCAGCAGAAGCCUUCAUACAACAUGACGAAACAAGGGAUCAUGUUGAAGUGUGUCCUGACGCUGGUGUUAUCAUCGAGGAACUUUCUCAACGCAUUGCAUUAACUGGAGGUGCUGCACUGGUUGCUGAUUAUGGUCAUGAUGGAACAAAGACAGAUACCUUCAGA